rnacentral:rRNA from 1 species
UACGUAGGGGGCUAGCGUUGUCCGGAAUCAUUGGGCGUAAAGAGCGUGUAGGCGGCUUGGUAAGUCCGCUGUGAAAGUCCAGGGGCUCAACCCCUGGAAUGCCAGUGGAUACUGUCAAGCUAGAGUCCGGAAGAGGCGAGUGGAAUUCCUGGUGUAGCGGUGAAAUGCGCAGAUAUCAGGAGGAACACCAAUGGCGAAGGCAGCUCGCUGGGACGGUACUGACGCUGAGACGCGAAAGCGUGGGGAGCAAACAGG